GACCAAACGCGGUCUGACUGCACUGACAGCUAGGAUGUUGGCUUGGAAGCAGCCAUACAUUUAAAGAGUGCGUAACAGCUCACUAGUCGAGCGGUUGGGCAUGGAUAAUAAACGGGCAUAAGCAUAUUACCGAAGCUAUGGGGUUAUUACUUAAGUAAUAUACCGGUAGGGGAGCAUUCUAUUGGCGUUGAAGCUAAAGGCGUGAGCCAUAGUGGAGCCUGAUAGAAAAGAAAAUGUAGGCAUAAGUAACGAUAAGGCAGGCGAGAAACCUGCCCGCCGAAAGAUCAAGGUUUCCUCAGCUAUGCUAAUCAGCUGAGGGUUAGUCGGGGACUAACGCGAACCCGAGUAGGGGUAGUGGAUGUACAAUAGGUUAAUAUUCCUAUACCAUUAGUCUAUUAAAAGUGACGGAAUGAGAUAACUACCGCGUACUGACGGAAUAGUACGUUUAAGGAGUUGUUAUGACUUCGAAAGUACACUGAGGCUUCGGCCGAGGUGAGUGUGGUGACAACGUUUCCAAGAAAAGCGAGGACUAAUGCCCGUACCGUAAACCGACACAGGUGAUUGGGAUGAGAAUUCUAAGGCGCUCGAGAGAUUCAUGGCUAAGGAACUAGGCAAAAUAGACCUGUAACUUAGGGAGAAAGGUCGCCUAUCAUUAGAUAGGCCGCAGUGAAAAGGUCCAAGCGACUGUUUAUCAAAAACACAGGACUCUGCAAAAUCGAAAGAUGAAGUAUAGGGUCUGACACCUGCCCGGUGCUGGAAGGUUAAGAGGAGAGCUUAGCAGCAAUGCGAAGGUUUGAAUUGAAGCCCCAGUAAACGGCGGCCGUAACUAUAACGGUCCUAAGGUAGCGAAAUUCCUUGUCGGGUAAGUUCCGACCUGCACGAAUGGUGUAACGAUUUGGACACUGUCUCGGCCAUGAGCUCGGUGAAAUUGUAGUAUCGGUGAAGAUGCCGAUUACCCGCAGUGGGACGAAAAGACCCUGUGCACCUUUACUAUAUCUUCGUAUUGGUCUUGGAUAAGUGAUGCGUAGGAUAGGUGGGAGACUAAGAAGCGGCUAUUCCGGUAGUUGUGGAGUCAUUGUUGAAAUACCACCCUUUGCUUAUCUGAGGUCUAACUUUGCACAAGGCAAAGGACAAUUCGUGGAGGGUAGUUUGACUGGGGUGGUCGCCUCCAAAAGUGUAACGGAGGCUUCUAAAGGUACCCUCAGACCGAUUGGUAACCGGUCGUAGAGUG
rnacentral:rRNA from 1 species